ensembl:lncRNA CDH13-AS2 CDH13 antisense RNA 2
AUGCCCCGCCCCUCACGCAGCGCGCCGUCAGUGGGGUGGAAAGUGAGACCAACUCAGAAAUGGAGCAAUAGAGGCAGGGAGUGGUCUUGGCCUCUCUUCCAGGCUGUAGUCAGUCGAAAGACGGCUCUGGGGUUUCUUUGGCCUGUCGGGACGAACUUACAGAACUUUUGCCCUUCAACAAGCCCCACUGUACCCUUGUAACUGCCCCCAAGCCAAGGAACAUGACCCACCCCUACCCGCCCCGGGAGCCCCAUGGCUCCUGUCCUGUUCUGUCAUCUCCACCCUAUGAAGGUGGCCAGCGUCUGGAGUUUAGCCCAAUGGAGUCUUGCUGUGUUGCCUAGGCUGGAGUGCAGUGGCACCAUGUCGACUCACUGCAACCUCCGCCUCCCCGGUUCAAGCGAUUCUCCUGCCUCAGCCUCCUGAGUAGCUGGGAUUACAGGUGAGCACCACCAUGCCCAGCUAAUCGUAAAAGACUUUUCAUAAAACUUCAGAACUCCUUAAAAACUAGUGAAUAGCCAAGGUGAAGAAAGCCCUCAGGCUUCUGACUUUAGACCCCAAUCCCUGGGACUCCCACACUCAGCAAAGAAAGCUGGGUGCCUGCACCCUGGAUCUCUGAGCAAACCUGUCUUAUGGCUGUGGGCAACUCAGGAACAUGAAUUAGCACGAGAAUCUGGAGUUUUUCUUUCCUUUUCUGAGAGUUUCAUACGCAGACCUUAAGUAGACAUAGUAUCCAGCUAAAAGGGUCUCACUCUGUCACCCAGGCUGGAGUGCAGUGGCGCAGUCAUGGCUCCCUGUAACCUCAACCUCUCAGACUCCAGCAAUCCUCCUGCGACAGCGAAGUUAAUCUUCUGGUUCGGUUCACAAAGUGCAGGAGAGCCUACCAGCUUGAGAGAAAAGGAGUCAUGCUGUAUUUGUUUCCUUGAGUGAAUGGCCACUCAGCUGCUGUGUUUCUCCCUGCAUGUGGCUGAAGUUUACAUUGGAGGGUGACUUCCUGAUUGCCAGUUAGCAUAUGUGUCCGGCUACCAGCCGCCUGACUGGCUGAGGAUGCUCUUUGUUUGUUCAAGGAUGAACGUUCUCCCCCUGCCUUGCAGGAAGAGGGGAGCAAGGUGCGCCCGGGAGACGCGUGACAGUGCCCUGUAAAGCCAGUAGAGGAAAUCUUGUGGAGUGUGAAUGCACAGGCUUAGAUUCCCCUGUCCCUGAGUCGGGGGCAUGUGCUCGUGGAGAAUGACCCUAUCAAGUUCAAGGUGUGGCAUCUCCUGAUCCAGCAACAGGAUUUGUUCCAGAGAAAAAUCCCCAGGUCUUGGGACUGUUGACAGAUGGCCAUGACUAUGCUUAAUGUGGUCAUCAACUGAGAAUGGUCCGUCUCAUCUUUGAGUAUGCAAUUACCUUUAUAGCUGAUUAUGACACCCUCAGAUCAUAUCAUGAGGUGGACAAGAUGAGUCCAUGGCCCAUGCUGAGAACUGGUACUUCUGUCUUCAUAGACUCACUCACCAACCAGAGAUGUACGACGGACCCCAAAUGGUCUGUCAAAAAUGUGAACUUGCACUAAGACAAGACCCAACAUCAGUGACAUUGGACACAAGAUAGAAAUCAGAGAACAGUUACUGUCCAGCAGUUUUAACCACCAAUACCCAUUUAUUUUAAUGGAAAAAAAAAUCUCUGCAUUCUAUAUGUUCCAAAAGGAUUUACCAUUGAAACAAAUACAAUAUAUGGAACUCUAUCUGUAUAAUUUCACUACAACAAAGACAACAUAUGACUUCUACUUCCUACAGAAGGCUAACUGAAAGCACAAGUGCAAACAUAGAUUGCAUAAGAAAGCGUGUGUGUGUGCAUGUGCGGUUAAAACCUUUAGUAAGCAACUGCAUUAAAAUAUGCUAAGACACUCACCUUACCCUAGUUCGUGGCGAGCUCUAAUAAAAAGCCACAAGCUGUCACUAGUUUUAUUUGAUAGAAAAAUUUGGUGUGAGCUUUGAUGAUUCAUUUAUGGUUUAUCAACAAGAAGGUAAUCUUAGAACAAGCACUAACUUUCCGCUUUUACAUGCUCACAGAAUACAAAUCAGUUACUUUUCAUACAUAAUGAACGUCUUUUAUUUUCGGGUUUGCAAACAACGGUAGUCAAUUCACACAAAAGGGUACUUUUAAAACUACCUGUAUUUACUCUAUUUUAUGCCUGUAUAUAUGAAACAAACAGCGUGAAUGUGCAUAAAUGUAUGUCUGUACAUGUGGGUAUAUAUGUGUAUACAAGAUGGUACCUGUACACCUCUUUGUAUGCAUGUAUGACCUCCAUGAUGACAGGUGCAGUUGUACAUUUACUGAGGAGGGAGAGAUUCUCUACCAUGAUCUGUGUCCCCAUUAGAAUCAGUACGACUGUGGAUUCGGGACACAUACAAAUGCAGGUUGGUGCCCAUGAAAGAAAAUGUCAGCCCUUUUCUUGGCAUUUGGUGGUGAAAUUGCCUGCUCUGCUCCUCACCUCCUUGGCUCAGGAUCACGGCAUCAGAUGGCAGUGUAAAUUGGUUGUAGUCCUCGAACUCAAUAAAGAGAAAGGACUUCUUUCUCUGCUCUCCCUCUCUGUGGACCUGCCUGGCUGGUUGUGGCAGCAUUCAGACUGAACGGGACAGUGGAGAAGUAGCUUCGGAGCAAAAGUGACAGCUCUGUGGUCUGUCCUCAUGCUGACCUUGAUGCGGGAGGCCCUGGAGGGUUCAGGUGUCUUAGUUUCCACCCACCUUGCUUAACCUUGCAAGGAAGAAUGGCAUCAAAACGAGGCUUCUCCAGGAUAGUCUCUCUCUAUAAAUACCGUGUAUAUAUACAUACAGAUACUCAUACAUACACCAAUACUAACCCACAGACAAAGCUGGGUGCCUGGAGCACUGGCUAGCGACAUGUUAACACACCAGAAAAAGUAGUCAUUGUUCCUGCUCCCAGAAGAUCAAGUCAUAUGUCAUGAUCUUUAAACAUUCAGGGAAAAUUCAGAAGAUUCCAUUAAUUAAAGGAGGGAGGAAGAUGCUGUCAAAAUGAUGAAGUACAGACUAAGUGAAAUUGUAAAGAAAAUAAAAAACCGGAACAAUUGAGGCCUAGUUGUGAAGUUCGAUAGCUGUAAACCGCAAUCUUCAGAUUUGGAUAGAUUUUUUUUUUUCCUGUUGCUAUGGAAACUUGGGAGUCAAGCUUCAGACGUCAGGAGUUCUCACAGACCUGAAUAGAGAGGGUUCAGAGUUAAGUCGGGAAUAUCACCACUCAAUUCAAAACAUUUUAGCUAAAAGCCAGAAAAAUGACAGGCAAGGUAUAAUAAACACA